rnacentral:rRNA from 1 species
UACAGAGGUGGCAAGCGUUGUUCGGAAUUACUGGGCGUAAAGGGCUCGUAGGCGGCCAACUAAGUCGGACGUGAAAUCCCUCAGCUUAACUGGGGAACUGCGUCCGAUACUGGAUGGCUUGGAUUUGGGAGAGGGAUGCGGAAUUCCAGGUGUAGCGGUGAAAUGCGUAGAUAUCUGGAGGAACACCGGUGGCGAAGGCGGCAUCCUGGACCAACACUGACACUGAGGAGCGAAAGCCAGGGGAGCAAACGGG